GCUUUUUCCAUGUGUAGGAACUUGCAAGGAUGGCAGGAGGCUACAGAGAGCAGACUUGAAACCCUGUGAAAAGAAGAAAUAAGCAAAGCAAGAGGAUAAGCCCUGGGAGAACAGCGUGCUUCCCAGUGUCUGCCUCGUCCUGCACAGUAAGAGCCAGGUCAACUUCAGGAAAUAAGCAAGGCCUCUAAAAGGAAGCACGACCAGAAAAUACAGCACAACUAGGAGCAUAUGGAAGGGAUCCAAGAAGUGGAGACCAUCAUUCGGUAAUAGAAUCUGCUUUGGAGAUGAGAGAGCCUAGAAGGAUGCCCAAUGCCCAGGGUGGCACCAACGCAUUCCACAGUGACACUCAAGAAGCUCAACUCUUCUUGUCUAUGGGUUUUGCCACGUUGCCCAGGAUGAUCUUGAACUCCUGGGGGAAAUGAAUACCCGCCUCAGGGCCACAGCCAUAAUGGGACAAAGUGCUCAGUACAGCACCUGAUUCAGAUGAACACCCACAGAGUCACCACCGUCACUGUUACUCACCCGAGGAUGGCAACAGCGCCCUCACAUGCUAUGUACAAUUC
rnacentral:lncRNA from 10 species